AAACUAUUAUAUGUUUAAUGAAGGGCAAAGCUUAUUGUUAAUCACUACUUAUUGUAUUAUGUGUUUAAGCAAUAAGGGAAUCCAAAGAAUGUAUUUGAUCUAAGAGAGAAGUGAUCUAAGUAAGUUAGAUUAACAAGACCUUUCUCUUAUGUUCAUUCCUAAAAUGUUCUUAGCCAUAGGAUUGCCAAUUGGGCAUUGACAAUCCGCUAAGGUUAGUAUGUGUUAUUUUAACUCAAGUGUGAGUAUGACUAGUCUCAAGUCAUUUAGUGUUGGACACUGAGACAAACACAUAGGUGCUCAAAAGGUAAUCGAGUACACUGAACUACAAUCAAACGAAAGUUCAAACAUACAUGUCAUGUAAGAACUCAUAAGUUGCAAUAUGCAAUGUAGUCCUUCGACAUAAGGCAUCAUAGAUGUCCAAUGGUUAGGUCCUUGAUCUUUGAUCAUGUCAAAGGCAUUCCAUCGAGAGUGUCCAUGACAUUGUUGGGUUAAGCUAUCUAGUCAUGUAGGCAUAUGAAUGCACAAUAAGGGAUCUCUAACCUUUCAUGGUGGAGGGAGAAUACUCUGAGAUAUGAUUCGGGAGUCUUUGCCAAAGCAUACCACUAUGACUUAGGAAGUUUGUUCCCAAUCAUAUUCAACAGAAUCAUAUAGAGAAGUAUCCCAUUGGAUAGUAGACAUGAAACAAACUAUCACUCAAACAAUGUGAUUAAGAGUAUUGUAUUAGAGAAGGAUCGUAGUGCAUUGUAAUUGUAACUGGAUAGGUUCUCCAACCACUUUUACUCAGCUUGGGUAGCCAUGACAUACUUCUAGGUGUCACUCAUGGUUUUGAUCUGAUCUAAACUAGCACUCCAACUUAACCCUCUUUUUGACAAUUGUAGUAUGGAUAAGUAGGAAUCGUUCUAGGCCGGGGAUUAAAAGGGCUACUAAUCAACACAAAUUAGACUUAAAAAUUGAAAACUAGGCUAAACUAACACAAAUAAGAACUAAAGGGGGUUUUUGGAUGAAUUUUGAACUAAAACAACUAAAUUGCAGAAACAAAGUGAAUUUGGACGAAAAUUGGGUGAAAGGCUAGCUAAAGGGUCCUUCUCCACACAUGACACAUAUGCAUACAAAUCGAUUUCCAGUUAUUAUUCCUAUAAACCAUAAAUGACACUACCCCAAAUUAAUCGUGAAAAGCACAAAUUAAUUUUCUGAUUUUCCUAAAUUCAUUGAAUUGGACUCAGCAACGCAACCAAAUUAUUCUUAUCCAGUUCCGUAUAUGAACUGCAUAAUAGAGAUACAUAUCAAAGAUAAUUAAGUUCUAUGAAAAUCAUAAGCAUUGACAAGGCAUUUGUAACUAUGAACUGCAUGAUACUCCUGCCAGGAAUUUACUUAAUACAAUCAUGACUAGUGACUUUUACUACUUGCAAAUAUAAGUUCAUAACGAUUAGGUGAAAUUCCCUUAUAUUCUAGCAUCAAAUCCCUGCAUGCAAACUAAGUAUGCAUCCUCAAUCAACACACAAGAAUAAGUUAUCAAUCAAACAGAUAAGUAAAUUGCAUUCACGAUUUAUGAAAUCAUAACUGGAUGUAAUCAAUUCAUAUCACAUAUAUGUUCAUGGCUUUGAAUUCACCUCUAACUAAAACGAAAUUAGUUCAUCAUGUUUGCAAGUAAACAAAACCAAUCUAAUUUAAACAUUAAACUAAAACUAAGGAUAGAAAGAACCCAUAAACGCUCCAGCACUCCAAUGGCCUUGGAUGGCAGGCACGGCACAAAGCUUUUCUUCUCCUUCCUUCCUUGCAAAGCAACGGCACUCUUUUGUGUAUUUUUCUGAUUUUAGACUCUUGUGUAUGUGGUACUCUGAAUGGUACGGCAAAGGUGUAUAUAUAGGGCUAGGGCACGGCACAAAGGUUGUAGAGGAAAAUGAUUAGUAGUUAGCAUUGUUUUAGGACUCCUAAAAAUCAGAUAAGAGGUGGUUUAAUAUGAAAAGGAGUCCCCUUUGCAGCUGGAAAUAAGGUAGGAUAAGAUUAGGAUAGGAUAAGAUAAGAUAAGGUUAGUUUGAGAUAAAACAGGACUGGAUAAGGUUUUGGAUAAUGUUCCUUCCUUUUAGCUGAUUCCUUAUCUUCUAUGUCUUGAAUUAAUUUCUUCAACUCUUUAGCACAUUCCUAGCCUCUUUUAAACUUCAAAAACGUCCAUCCAUUUUGCUUCAUACGCAUGCUAUUCAUUCCAAGUCUAAAACUGCUCUAAAAUGUUCCAAAUUGCCUUUUCUUGCCACAUUUGCCAAUUGGACCUACAAACACACGAAAAUAGUUUAAAUUACUAUAAUAAACAGAAACUAACUCACUAAAUGCAAAGAAACAAGCUAACAAAGUCGCAUAAAUAUGCUCCUAUCAGGUUUGUGGAAGCCCUAAAGAUUAGCAAACACUAAUCUUUAUCAAAGGGAGAAUUGAAAUGUAGUUUCAAUUCACAAUCAAUCGUUAAGAUAACAAUCGCCCACUGCCUUACUAAUUGGAACCUUGAUGUGAGAAUUACUUGACACACAAAUUAAACCCUCUUUUUGACAAUUGUAGUAAAGUAUGUAAGUAGGGUAUCGUUCUAGGCCGGGGAUUAGGAGGGAUUGCUAAUCUAUUCUAAAUUAAUUUAAAAAUAUUAAACAAGACUUAAGGACACAAAACUAGGCUAAAAACUCUAAUAACUCGAAACACACUUAGAAUGACUCAACAUAAUGAAAACAAUCAAUUUAGACACUAGGAACUGAAAUGGACGAAAAUUGAAUUAAAAGACUAACAACAAUGAAAACUAACUAAAUAAUAUAAUUUAAUAAUGGGGGGGGGUUUGGUUUUGACGAGAAGUAAAUUAAACUUAAAUAAAUUACAGAAUUGACAAAAGCAUGAAUUAAGGUGAAAGGAUAGGUGACGGACUAGCUAGAGGGUUCUUCUCCACACAUGACACAUAUGCAACCUAAAUUGAUUUUCAGUUAUUUUUUCAAUAAAUUGUGAAUGACAAUGUUCCAAGUUAAUUAGGUCCGCUUAAAUUAACUCUUAGAUUU
rnacentral:lncRNA from 1 species